AAGGCAUACAUCAUGAUUAACAGAUACCUAUUAUCAGCGUUCACCUCUUCUUUCUCUUUUGGGUCAAAUAGCUGAAUUGCACAAGGGGGUAAAUUGGACAUUGCUUUGUUGACACGUGAGAGAGUAAGAUUGAGAGUCAGAUUGCCUUCCUUGGAACCAUUGGUGGGGUGGAUGCACCCACUCCUGCCCGCAGAAUAAUGGCUGCCUUACUUGGCAGUGAAUUGGCAACCAAGUUCAACUGGAAAGGCCUGGGAAGCAAAAGGUCAUUUUAUGACUUCAAACUUCAAUAUGUGGUGGUUGAUGCUGUACACAGAAAUCAUCUCACAAAGAAAGCGCAGGACUCAGAAAUAGAGACAGUGGCCAUGCUGUGGCAUCGAAAUGUACGCGAUAGGGCGGUGGGGAGGAAGGAGCACCUCCUGAAGGCAAUGAGGAAGCAGCAGCAGGAGCAAAUUGACAUUUGAAUAUGAAAAUGUCCACUUUUUCAGUAACCUGUGUUCUUAAUUUCUUUCUUUAUUAUUUUUAUUUUAAAACUUUCAUGGACACCUUAAUGCUUCAUUUUUAAU